rnacentral:rRNA from 1 species
AUUGAACGCUGGCGGCAGGCCUAACACAUGCAAGUCGAGCGGAGCGGCGGACGGGAGAGUGAUGCCUAGGCAUCAGCCUGCUGGUGGGGGAGAGCGUCCGGAAACGGGCGCUAACACCUCAUACUAUCCGAUGAGCCUAGGUCGGAUUAGCUAGUUGGUGGGGUAAAGGCCUACCAAGGCGACGAUCGUUAACUGGUCUGAGAGGAUGAUCAGUCACACUGGAACUGAGACACGGUCCAGACUCCUACGGGAGGCAGCAGUGGGGAAUAUUGGACAAUGGGCGAAAGCCUGAGCCAGCCAUGCCGCGUGUGUGAAGAAGGUCUUCGGAUUGUAAAGCACUUUAAGUUGGGAGGCGUUACCAACAGAAUAAGCACCGGCUAACUACGUGCCAGCAGCCGCGGUAAUUC